AUUACAACAAGUAUUUAUAGCCUAAAGUUAAGUAACUAACUUUCCUAACUUCUAGGCCAAGUAACUAACAAACUAGUUACUCUAACAAACUUGUCCUAACUAUACGGUUAAGACUAACACAUGAGUAAUUAUGGAUUAAUCUCAACACACCUCCCUAAUCCAUAAUCUCUACACCAGUCAGACCCAGCUUCCUUCUGAGUUCUUCAAAUCUGUCCAGCUUCAGAGCUUUUGUAAAACCAUCUGCAAGCUGAUCCUGAGUAGGGCAAUACACCAAUUCAAUCCUCC
rnacentral:lncRNA from 1 species